CCCAGACUCCUACGGGAGGCAGCAGUGGGGGAUAUUGCACAAUGGGGGGAACCCUGAUGCAGCGACGCCGCGUGGGUGAAGAAGCGCCUCGGCGCGUAAAGCCCUGUCAGCAGGGAAGAAAAUGACGGUACCUGAAGAAGAAGCCCCGGCUAACUACGUGCCAGCAGCCGCGGUAAUACGUAGGGGGCAAGCGUUAUCCGGAUUUACUGGGUGUAAGGGGGGCGCAGACGGCGAUGCAAGCCAGGAGUGAAAGCCCGGGGCCCAACCCCGGGACUGCUCUUGGAACUGCGUGGCUGGAGUGCAGGAGGGGCAGGCGGAAUUCCUGGUGUAGCGGUGAAAUGCGUAGAUAUCAGGAGGAACACCGGUGGCGAAGGCGGCCUGCUGGACUGCAACUGACGUUGAGGCCCGAAAGCGUGGGGAGCAAACAGGAUUAGAUACCCUCGUAACC
rnacentral:rRNA from 1 species